GGGACAUGUAUAUCCCUCUCCCAGCCCAGCGCUCUCCCGCCUGACUUUGGACAGAGGUGCCUGCACUACUUUCAUCGUGGGGCAACCCUAGCUCCCCCAAAUCCUGCUCCAGUACUGAAUGGGGGUGAGGCAGGUGCUAACAAGUGAGAAAGAAGGGUUUCCCGAGUGUGGAGCAGAGAGGAAGUGACUCAUCAAAUACAACAAAGCCCAACUCUCCACGAGGAAGCACUGGUGAGGAGUGAACCCAAGUGGGUGUGUUCACCCACGUGCUCGCGGGGCCGUCGGGGUGGGCCGGGCUGGCUGCCGCCUAGUGCUAGUCUGCAUGGGUGGGAUGAGGGGAGGUGGGGGGGCAGGCCUAUGGUGCCGGUCACUGCCUGGAGCCAAGUGAUGGGGUGGGGGCGGAGGGACCCCUUUCUAUCCAAAGUUCUGCUCUGCCGUUCCCCUUUGGCCUCUGGGGGCCGAGGGGCGUGUUUCCUUAGGACCCUGGGCGUGGGAGAAGCCCCUGCUUGGACUGACAGUCCGCUGUGUUAGGCUAGCCCUUCAACACAUGGGAGGCAAAAGUCCAGCGAGCGCGAUCGCCCAGCUGGGGCUGCACAGCACGGCGAGGCCAGCGCAGAGCCGGGAUGCUGGGCUUGGUCCAGCGGAGGCUCGGCCUGGCUGUAAAGCAGAGAGGGCGAGGGAAACCCGGCCAGCAGGUCUCGCGGGGAGCCGGCAUCCGGGAGCGGGUGUGGCGCCCAGAGCGCUGCUGCCUCUUGCAGCCAGGAGGCUGGACGUCGGGUUUGGGUGUCUUCCAGAAGCAGCCGCGAAAGCCACGAGGGAAGAGGAACUGGCUUCCCGGGAAGUCUCCUCUGCCCCAAACUUUUCGUCCUCGCUGAGAGGGGCGGGCGGAGGAAGGAAGCGUGGCCGGGGAAGGUGGGGCCAGCGUUCGACCGCCCGGGGCGCGGCUAGGGUGAGUGUGUCUUUGAAUCCGAGCCCCCCUGCCCCUCGCGGUGGGGCUGGGACUCGCGGGCGGGGCGGGGUCGGGCGCGGUGAUUGGCGGCCGGGCCGGGUCCAACCCUCGGCGGUGCGGGGGACGCGGGACGCGGGACGCGGGGGAGCAGCGCGGCGCGCACUGGCAGGGGUGCGCAGCUCCCAUCGCGGGCUAGCGCGGGCUCCCUCUCGCAUGGCCUCGCCGGGUCCGCCUGGCCUGCCCAUCUUCGAAGCCGCCUCUGCCCCCGCAUGGGCUGGGGAAGUUGGGAGGAGCGAGCCGGAGCCCGCACGGGGCGCGCCCCACAGCUGCCUGACUCGGCGCCCGCAGUCCAGGCGUAGCUUGCCGGCAUCAGGAGCACGAAUGCCCCGUGGAGCGGCGGGAUGGCAGGACAGGACAGGCCCUGAGGAUGCCAUUGAAGAAGGCCAGCCCCAGCUUCUGCCAGGUGGGUCCCCUGGGAGACCCUUGUGGUGGGAAGGGAUGGAGGGGAGGUCAAGGAAGCCUUCUGGUGCAGGGAGUGGGCUGGGUAGGACGGCUGAGCCAGUCAGGAAGAAGUAG
ensembl:lncRNA